GGAUUCAAAAAGGGCUUAUACUAAGCAACAAUUAAAAGGAUACAAGGGAUUGGAUGCAUAUAAAUAUGCUACUUGUGGCUGGGUUAAACAGGUGGCUGUGAAGGUCUUUGGGUCUUAUGUCGUAGUCUUGGGAAAGGUACUUCAUUCCCAACGAUUAAAUGAACCUAUGUUGCAACCAUGGAUUAUUGCUGAAAAAGAGGGCAAUAUAUGCUCUGCCCAUUGCACGUGCAUCGCAGGUUUGGGGGAGGUAUGUACUCACGUUGGGGCCCUUCUUUUUACUGUGGAAUUAAACGUCCGGGAUUUGGAAGAGACUACAGUAACAGGAAAGAAGGCCUAUUGGAUGCCUCCUUCAGGAAAACCUGCUCAACCACAAAGAGUCUCAAAUAUAGAUUUUUCGGUACCAAAAAAAAGAUUGCCCCGGGACGAACCACUCACUGUUCGUGAUAAAGGUCAAGAAAACAUUCCAUCAUUAUCCCGAACAGAGAGACAAGAUCUUUUAAAUUUAUUUGCGUCCACUUCGCAAGGAUCCGCAGCGCAUUUAAUUACUAAUCCAUUUGCCCAAAGUAAAAAAGAAGAGAGGGACCAAAUAAAGAAGCAUUAGAUUACAACUUUAUUCAGUGAAGAUCACAUUCAUAAAAGCUUAAGUGAGCUGCAGGAAUUAGGUGCCUCUUUGGAUUUUUCUAUACCAGUUGCUGAUUGUAAGGAGAUUCACAAUACGACUAAAGAACAAGCGAAGUGUAAAGAUUGGUUUUGCUAUAGAGCUGGAAGGAUUACAGCGUCCAAAUUCAAACGUUGCUGCCGAACAAAUAUCGCGAAUCCCUCUUUAUCUUUACUCAAGUCUGUGUGUUAUCCAAUGACAUACAGUUUUAAAACAAGAGCAGUGGAUUAUGGAUGCACCUA